AAUCAACGCUGGCGGCGUGCCUAACACAUGCAAGUCGAACGCGAAAGGGGCUUCGGCCCUGAGUAGAGUGGCGAACGGGUGAGUAACACGUGGGUGAUCUACCUUCGAGUGGGGGAUAACGUCCCGAAAGGGACGCUAAUACCGCAUGACGUUCUGGGUUUGAAGACCUGGAAACCAAAGCCGGGGACCGCAAGGCCUGGCGCUUGAAGAGGAGCCCGCGUCCGAUUAGCUAGUUGGCGGGGUAAUGGCCCACCAAGGCGACGAUCGGUAGCCGGCCUGAGAGGGCGGACGGCCACACUGGAACUGAGACACGGUCCAGACUCCUACGGGAGGCAGCAGUGGGGAAUUGUUCACAAUGGGCGCAAGCCUGAUGACGCAACGCCGCGUGGGGGAUGAAGGUCUUCGGAUUGUAAACCCCUGUCGAACGGGACGAAAGACUCGGGAGCUAAUCAUCUCGAGAGUGACGGUACCGUUAAAGGAAGCCACGGCUAACUCUGUGC
rnacentral:rRNA from 1 species